rnacentral:piRNA from 1 species
AGCACUGGGCUAAGGAUGUGGACA